CUGCUUGGCCAUCUCCAGGUCUGGAGAGUACAUCGCCUCCGGACAAGUCACAUUCAUGGGGUUCAAGGCAGACAUCAUUUUGUGGGGUUAUAAGAAAAGAGAGCUGCUUGCUCGGCUGUCCCUUCACAAAGGCAAAAUUGAAGCUCUGGCCUUUUCUCCAAAUGAUUUGUACUUGGUAUCACUAGGAGGCCCAGAUGACGGAAGUGUGGUGGUGUGGAGCAUAGCCAAGAGAGAUGCCAUCUGUGGCAGCCCUGCAGCCGGCCUCAAUGUUGGCAAUGCCACCAAUGUGAUCUUCUCCAGGUGCCGGGAUGAGAUGUUUGUCACUGCUGGAAAUGGGACAAUUCGAGUAUGGGAACUGGAUCUUCCAAAUAGAAAAAUCUGGCCAACUGAGUGCCAAACAGGACAGAUGAAAAGAAUAGUCAUGAGUAUUGGAGUAAGUAUUAAUUUAAGCAUUAAGUAACAAUUAGCACACAUUCCCGUUAGCAGUACUGACCAAGGUGUUUGUGUGUGUGUACAUGGGGCUGGGGAUAGGAAGGUGGGGUAUAGACAUAGGGAAUGUUGAUUGAAGAAGCUCACUUUGGCCAGGUGCAGUGGCUCACGCCUGUAAUCCCAGCACUUUGGGAGACGGAGGGGGGUGAAUCACUUGAGGUCAUGAGUUUGAGACCAGCC
rnacentral:sRNA from 1 species